rnacentral:rRNA from 1 species
CCUACGGGAGGCUGCAGUGAGGAAUAUUGGUCAAUGGACGCAAGUCUGACCCAGCCACGCCGCGUGAAGGAAGACGGCUCUCGGGUUUUUAACUUCUUUUAAGGGGGAAGUAAAGAGGGCGGUACCCCUUGAAUAAGCCACGGCUAACUAAGAACCAGCAGCCGCGGUAAUACGGAGGUGGCAAGCGUUAUCCGGAUUUACUGGGUGUAACGGGCGUGCAGAUGGGAAGAUAAGUCAGAUGUGAAAGUCCGCGGCUCAACCGUGGAACUGCAUUUGAAACUGUUUGUCUUGAGUAUAGGAGAGGUAAGCGGAAUUCGUGGUGUAGCGGUGAAAUGCGUAGAUAUCAGGAAGAACCCCGGUGGCGAAGGCAGAUUACUGGACUGCGACUGACGGUGAGGCGCGAAAGCGUGGGGAUCAAACAGGAUUAGAUACCCCAGUAGUC